UAUCUGCAGGCGUGUGCCUGUGUGCAAGGUGUGGUUGCACGGAUGCUCGCUGCUUCUGCGUAUCUGCAGGCGUGUGCCUGUUUGUUUUGUAGCCUGGAGUCAGUGCUCGGUUCUGCGCCUGCAGGAUGUCCAGGUGUCUGCUGGGUGGGUCUGUGCUUCUGGGCUUUGCCGUUCGUGUCCGUGCCUUCGCCACUGGGGGCUCGUCUACAUUUGCGUUUCCGUACAUGGUUCUUUUUGUUUCUGGAGAGUAAAUUCCUGGAGCAAUUGCUAGGCCUGCCUGCUGUCACCUGGCUGACAGGGAGGCCCGCCCCCUUCUCUCGGCAGCCUAGGGCCCAGGCCCGGGCCACCAUGGCGCUGCCUCCGAGCCUAGCCGCCCUCCGGCACACGCUGCUGCUCCUGCCAGCCCUUCUGAGCUCAGGUUGGGGGGAGUUGGAGCCACAAAUAGAUGGUCAGACCUGGGCUGAGCGGGCACUUCGGGAGAAUGAACGCCACGCCUUCACCUGCCGGGUGGCAGGGGGGCCUGGCACCCCCAGAUUGGCCUGGUAUCUGGAUGGACAGCUGCAGGAGGCCAGCACCUCAAGACUGCUGAGCGUGGGAGGGGAGGCCUUCUCUGGAGGCACCAGCACCUUCACUGUCACUGCCCAUCGGGCCCAGCAUGAGCUCAACUGCUCCCUGCAGGACCCUAGCAGUGGCCGAUCAGCCAACGCCUCUGUCAUCCUCAAUGUGCAAUUCAAGCCAGAGAUUGCCCAAGUCGGUGCCAAGUACCAGGAAGCUCAAGGCCCAGGCCUCCUGGUUGUCCUGUUUGCCCUGGUGCGUGCCAACCCGCCUGCCAAUGUCACCUGGAUCGACCAGGAUGGGCCAGUGACUGUCAACACCUCUGACUUCCUGGUGCUGGAUGCGCAGAACUACCCCUGGCUCACCAACCAUACGGUGCAGCUGCAGCUCCGCAGCCUGGCACACAACCUCUCGGUGGUGGCCACCAAUGACGUGGGUGUCACCAGUGCCUCGCUUCCAGCUCCAGGGCUUCUGGCUACCCGGGUGGAAGUGCCACUGCUGGGCAUUGUUGUGGCUGCUGGGCUUGCCCUGGGCACCCUCGUGGGGUUCAGCACCUUGGUGGCCUGCCUGGUCUGCAGAAAAGAGAAGAAAACCAAAGGCCCCUCCCGGCGCCCAUCUCUGAUAUCAAGUGACUCCAACAACCUAAAACUCAACAACGUGCGCCUGCCACGGGAGAACAUGUCCCUUCCGUCCAACCUUCAGCUCAAUGACCUCACUCCAGAUUCCAGAGCAGUGAAACCAGCAGACCGGCAGAUGGCUCAGAACAACAGCCGGCCAGAGCUUCUGGACCCGGAGCCUGGCGGCCUCCUCACCAGCCAAGGAAGAGGAAAUCAGGACAAAGACACAUAACAGAGGGAAGACCAUGGGAAGACACAGACAGAAGAUGGCCAAGAAGAGACCCCUCAGAAGAAAUCAAUCUUGGUGGGGCGCAGUGACUUCACACCUGUAAUACCAGCACUGUGGGAGGUUGAGGUAAAAUACACUGCCAUACUCUUUUCCUGUGGGAAUCUGUGAAAAAGAAACUGAUACCAAGUUAUGGGCAAGUAUUAACAGUUAUAUAUGCAUUACUUGGUGUUAUAAUGCCUAAUGAUUCCAGGACACCAUAUGAACAGAGAAAAUGGGCAUGACAUCUAACUCAGGUAACAGGCUCUCAAUCUAAACAAGUCACAGUGUGAAGUUUUUAAACUACUGGUUUUUUAAAACUUCUUUUCUCUUUUUACAAAAAACAGAGUACAUAUAGUUCUGCAACUUGCUGCAAUUUGCUUUUUUCAUUUAACAACAUAUCACUGCUAUUUCUUCAUAUUAGAGCAAAAUAAGGCCAAAUAAUAUUCCAUUGCAUAGUAUUUCAUUGAAUGGAUGUACUGCAACCUAGCUAUUCAAUCCCCUAAUCAGACACCUUCCCCUCAACUACAGCUUCAAAAUGCUCUGAGGAAAGAGACUGUUUCCAAAUUCUGUGCGUUUACAAUCAAUUCUUCAUAUACAAAAAAAACCUGUCUUUGUAGAGCUUACAUUUUAGUAGGGAAGAACAAAAUAAGUAAAUAAAGUCUAUGGUAUGUUAGAACGUAAGUGUUACCGAGAAAAAGUAGGGACAGAGGGUGGGGAAUGCUGGGGAGCUGGUGCAGCAGUUUAAACAUGAUGGCUAGGAAGGACCUGUUGGUCAUCUUUGUUCAGUUUCCUUUUCUUUUUUGAUACUUUAAAAAAAUUCUUUUUUGAGAUGGAGUCUUGCCCUGUUGCCCAGACUGGGGUGCAGUGGCGUGAUCUCAGUUCUCUGCAACCUCCACUUCCUGCAUUCAAGCAAUUCUCCUGUCUCAGCCUCCUGAGUAGCUCGGAUUACAGAUGUGUGCCACCACGCCUGGCUAAUUUUUUUGUGUUUUCAAUAGAGACAGGGUCUCAUCAUGUUGGCCAGGCUGGUCUCAAACUCCAGACCUCAGGUGAUCCACCCGCCUCAGCCUCCCAAAGUGCUGGGAUUACAGGCACGAGCCACAGCGUCCAGCUCCUUUUACUUUUCUUUUCUUUUUUUCUUUUUUUUUUGAGACAGAGUCUCGCUGUUUCGCCCAGGCUGGAUGCAGUGGUGCUAUCUUGGCUCACUGCAGUCUCUGCUUCCCGGGUUCACGCCAUCCUCCUGCCUCAGCCUCCCAAGUAGCUGAGACUAUAGGCGCCCGCCAUGGCACCUGGCUAAUUUUUUGUAUUUUUAGUAGAGACGGGGUUUCACCGUGUUAGCCAGGAUGGUCUUGAUCUCCUGACUUCGUGAUCCGCCCGCCUUGGCCUCCCAAAG